rnacentral:rRNA from 1 species
CCUACGGGAGGCAGCAGUGAGGAAUAUUGGUCAAUGGGCGGGAGCCUGAACCAGCCAAGUCGCGUGAGGGAAGACGGUCCUAUGGAUUGUAAACCUCUUUAGGCGGGGAGCAAUGCCGGGCACGUGUGCCCGGAGGGAGAGUACCCGCAGAAUAAGCAUCGGCUAACUCCGUGCCAGCAGCCGCGGUAAUACGGAGGAUGCGAGCGUUAUCCGGAUUGAUUGGGGUUAAAGGGUGCGUAGGCGGAUUGUUAAGUCAGCGGUAAAAUGUCCGGGCUCAACCCGGGCCGGCCGUUGAAACUGGGGAUCUUGAGUGGGCGAGAGGUAUGCGGAAUGCGUGGUGUAGCGGUGAAAUGCAUAGAUAUCACGAAGAACUCCGAUUGCGAAGGCAGCAUACCGGCGCCCGACUGACGCUGAGGCACGAAAGCGUGGGGAUCGAACAGGAUUAGAUACCCUGGUAGUC